AGUGAACGCUGGCGGUAGGCCUAACACAUGCAAGUCGAACGGCAGCACAGUAAGAGCUUGCUCUUACGGGUGGCGAGUGGCGGACGAGUGAGGAAUACAUCGGAAUCUACUUUUUCGUGGGGGAUAACGUAGGGAAACUUACGCUAUACCGCAUACGACCUACGGGUGAAAGCAGGGGAUCUUCGGACCUUGCGCGAUUGAAUGAGCCGAUGUCGGAUUAGCUAGUUGGCGGGGUAAAGGCCCACCAAGGCGACGAUCCGUAGCUGGUCUGAGAGGAUGAUCAGCCACACUGGAACUGAGACACGGUCCAGACUCCUACGGGAGGCAGCAGUGGGGAAUAUUGGACAAUGGGCGCAAGCCUGAUCCAGCCAUACCGCGUGGGUGAAGAAGGCCUUCGGGUUGUAAAGCCCUUUUGUUGGGAAAGAAAAGCAGCAGGUUAAUACCCCGCUGUUCUGACGGUACCCAAAGAAUAAGCACCGGCUAACUUCGUG
rnacentral:rRNA from 1 species